rnacentral:misc_RNA from 1 species
AAGUCGUAACAAGGUAUCCGUAGGUGAACCUGCGGAUGGAUCAUUAUCACGUUAUCCACGUAUAAACCAAUCGUUGAACAGUUAUUGUUACCUUUGUUAGUAUGGAUUUUUUGGGGAAACCCUAAAAAUCUUGAACACAAAGUGUAUUACUAUUCUAAUACUAUAUUAACCAAUCGAACCAUUUCUAUAAUGUUUUUCUUUGUGUGAACUGAAUUGUUUCUUACUCGUCAUUCACUUGGUGAGAAGAAAACUAUUUACGAAACAUAUCGAACAACUCUUAGCAACGGAUAUCUUGGUUCUC